AAAAACAUGUCUGUGUGAAUUAGUUAUAAAGUCUAGCCUGCCCACUGAUUGUUUAAAGGGCCGCGGUAAUUUGACCGUGCGAAGGUAGCAUAGUCAGUAGUCUUUUAAUUGAAGGCUUGAAUGAAGGGUUGGACGAGGGGUAAGCUGUCUCCUUUGCAGUGUUUGAAUUUAACUUUUGAGUGAAAAGGCUUAAAUUGUUUAGUGGGACGAUAAGACCCUAUAAAACUUAAUAUAGGUUUAGCUUGAUUUGCAAUUAUGGGUGAAAAGUGGUUUUGUUUGGCUUAUAUUUUGUUGGGGAGAUGUAGAUAUAAUGUGUAACUGUCUGUUGAAUUUAAUAGUUAUGAUUAGUGUGUGAUCCUUCAUUUGUGGAUUAAGAGAAUAAGUUACUUUAGGGAUAACAGCGUAAUUUUCUUUGAGAGUUCUUAUCGACAAGAGUAGUUGCGACCUCGAUGUUGAAUUAAAGUUUCAGCUAGGUGUAGUCGUUUAGCUGGUAGGUCUGUUCGACCUUUAAAAUUUUACAUGAUCUGAG
rnacentral:rRNA from 1 species